CUCCAGACUCCUACGGGAGGCAGCAGUGGGGAAUAUUGCACAAUGGGGGAAACCCUGAUGCAGCGACGCCGCGUGAGUGAAGAAGUAAUUCGUUAUGUAAAGCCCUCUCAGCAGGGAAGAAAAUGACGGUACCUGAGUAAGAAGCCCCGGCUAACUACGUGCCAGCAGCCGCGGUAAUACGGAGGAUGCGAGCGUUAUCCGGAUUUAUUGGGUUUAAAGGGUGCGUAGGCGGAACAUUAAGUCAGCGGUAAAAUCGGGGGGCUCAACCCCUUUAAGCCGUUGAAACUGGUGAUCUUGAGUGGGCGAGAAGUAUGCGGAAUGCGUGGUGUAGCGGUGAAAUGCAUAGAUAUCACGCAGAACUCCGAUUGCGAAGGCAGCAUACCGGCGCCCGACUGACGCUGAGGCACGAAAGCGUGGGGAUCGAACAGGAUUAGAUACCCGAGUA
rnacentral:rRNA from 1 species